AACGAACGCUGGCGGCAGGCCUAACACAUGCAAGUCGAGCGGACCUUUCGGGGUCAGCGGCGGAGGGGUGAGUAACGCGUGGGAAUAUGCCCUUCUCUACGGCGGCGUUGUGGGAAACUGGGGGUAAUACCGCAAAUGCCCGUUGGGGGACGGUUCUCUCGGGGUAGGAUUUGCCCGCGUUGGAUUAGGUGGUUGGUGGGGGAAUGGCCUACCAAGCUGACGAUCCAUAGCUGGUAUGAGAGGCUGAUCAGCCACGCUGGGACUGAGACACGGCCCAGACUGCGACGCAGGGGUGCAGUAGAGUAUCUUAGGCAAGGAGGCCAACCCUAGUGUCGCCAUGCCGGGUGUGUGAUCAAGGCCGUAGGAUUGUACAGCCCUCUCAGCUGGGGAGAUAGUGACGGUACCAGCAGAAGAAGCCCCGGCUAACUCCGUG
rnacentral:rRNA from 1 species